UUCUACGCGGCUGAAACAAUCAGCCUCCUCACCUUCUUGGUCGUCGCAGCCUCCACAUAGCCGGCGGCUUUCGACGAUCUUGAGUUGUGAUUCGCCGAGAACGACAGUGUCAUGUCAGCAGUCGAGGCCGAUCGCGUUGCUUGGAGAUGUUGUGGAAGAAGUCAAACCGUAGAAUGAUUUUCUCUGCAGGUAUCCUUUUCGCUUGCGGGUGGAAAAAUCAGGGAUGGUGGGGAAUUGGAAUUUUCAUCAUUCUGUAUUCUCAAUUCUGCUUCGUGGUCUGAGAACGAAUUAGGUUUGAAGUUUGGGGAAAUUGGAGUAUAUGCUUUUUCCGGCAGUCUCGAAGUUUGCCUCAACUUAUAUUUCCUACUCAAAGCUCUUGUCACACCUAUCUCGAACCAAAUCCAUAAACCAAGGCCUACAAAUCCAUGCCCAUCUAAUCAAACUUCGAUUGUCCCAUGACCUGAAGCAUAGGAACCAUUUGAUAAAUUUCUAUUCCAAGUGUACAGUUUUUUCUGAUGCCCGCAAGCUGAUUGAAGAAAGUCACAACCAGAUUUGGUUUCUUGGUCCUCUUGAUAUCUGGGUAUGCUCAGAAUGGACUUGGGGAAGAGGCCCUUUUGGCUUUUCAGGAGAUGCAUGUAUUGGGUGUUAAGUGUAUGACUUUACCUUCCCCAGCGUGCUCAAGGCCUGCUCGAGUAGAAAGAAUUUUAUGCUAGGGACACAAGUUCAUGGGAUUAUAGUGGUAACUGGAUUUCAGUCUGAUGUUUUUGUUGCAAAUACUUUGGUGGUUAUGUACGCAAAAUGUGGUCAUUUUCCAGACUCGAGGAGGUGGUUUGAGGAUAUCCCAGAAAGGGAUGUGAGCUUUCUUCAAAAGUUUAGGGGUUGUGGUACCAUUUUUUUGUUUUGUUUUGGUUAAAAAGGUUUUGAUGUCUAUUAAUGUUUUCAUUGUGGGGUAAAAUGCAAUUAGCCCCUGCUAAUUAGAGAGUAAUGUAGAAAGUGAAGGAGCUGCAUAGGCUAUAUUUUCUUGCAGAUUUUGUAGAUAAUCACCAUAUGAGAAAGUGUGAUUGAGUUUGCUAAACACUGGAUCUAAGGCAACUAUAAUUCUUCAAAUCGAAGAGCAACAUAAAAUUUGGUAUGAACUGAGUGAAGACAUUUGAUUUCAAUUUUAACUUUUAUGUAAAUUCAGUAUUCAGUUCAAUUUUGCUUUUUAGUUGUACUCAGUUUUAUUUGGUUCUAUACAGUAUUUUGUAUUGAGUUGGUUGCAAAAUUCUAGAUUCACUUAAUGUAUGCAUGUGAACAUCAUUUAAGUCAUCUUUAAAACUUGUGCUAGAAGGGAAAAAUAUGUGAGAGAUGACUCAUAUGGAGACAUCUCCAGGGUGAUUGUAGACAUGGUCUGCUAGAUAUCAAAUUCAAGCUCAUACUCCUGCCUGAGUUCAUAAAAGGAUCUAUGAAUUUUCAAAGCAAAUGCCUAAAAUAUUUCAUUUUCAAUAGCUUCCCCACAAAUGCCUAAAGAACAUCCUCGCAGUAUUUGACAUUGAUUGGGAGCCUCACACUUCAAGCUACCACUUAAAUGGUGAACUAUUCUUUCUUACAUUUUUGCUUCACUUCUCAACCAUUUAGUUCGGAUGAUAACCUUUCAAUCCCUAAGACGACAAACAAAGGGGGAUAUGAUCCUUCUAGCCACGGUUAUCUGUGCAGAAGCUUUUGAGAUCCUCCUAAUUAAGUUGGUUGUAUCCUAUUAGACUGUGGCACUAGGGAUAUCCUUCUACUUAAACUGUCAUCAAAGAGUAAUCACUUCUUCCCUCCUCCACCUGAAGUGUGAAUUGAAAGUGAAAAUGACAAAAUGUGGUCCGUGCUGUUAUAAUGUCCGUCCUCUCUUCCAGGUGCCUUCUUCAAGUGCUUGCCAAUGUCCUGUUUGUUCAAAAGGAAAAAUACUAGGGAAAAGAUUGAACUUGCUGAAAAAAUAUAUUAUGUUCCUUGGUUUGAAUUGCAAAUAAAUCCAAACCCAUCUUUCGUGAUAGAUAAAUGCUGAGAUUUCAGUUUGAGGAUUUCGCUAACCAUAAUGUGUUUGAGCUGCCGGCCAGAUAUGGCACUACCCAUUUGGUCUUUAACUAUGAUAUACAGGGGACAGCAUCUAUCGUGCUUGCUGGGCUUGUUGAUUCGCUUACGCUGCUUGGCGGUACCUUGGCUGACCACAGAUUCUUGUUCUUUGGUGCUGGAGAAUGGAAGCUUUGACUGGUCAAUUAACACACGAACACUGUCAUAAGGGAAUGAUUUAUCCUCCUUUGUUCAAUAUAAGAAAGAUCUCUGCUCAUAUUGCUGCAAAUGUAGCUGGUAAAGCAUAUGAACUCGGUCUGACAACACGGCUGCCUCAACCUGCUGACUUGGUUAAGUAUGCUGAAAGCUGCACGUACACUCCAAGUUACAGAAGUUACCGAUUAAGCUCCUGCUCAUGAUGUGCCUUGUUUUGAGCAUGUUUGCUAACAUUAUGUAUAAUGUGUCUAUAUAUGUGUGCCAUAAGCUUCAUCAUGUUGUAAAA